AUAACGUGAAAUAGGGUGAAGAAGAGAAGAAGGAGAGGAAAGAGGAAGAAGGUGAUUGGGUUUGUGUUUAAUCCGGUUAAAAUCAGGUUUUCUUUGGUUAAAAACGGUUAAAUAAAUAAUAACCGAUAAAACCCAGAUAUAUGGAUUAAUAGAUCUCGAAGUAUUAAUUCGGGGAGAUUUAGCUAUAGAACUUACGUUUCGGGGAGAAAUAUGUUUAAAACUUUGUUUUCAUGGACAUGUAGACCGGAGUUAAAGUUUGGGCUCUAUCUGGCAUGAUGCGGUACUUCUCGUGGGGAAAUAGACCGUUUUUCCGUGAAUAUCCUGAUCCGUAUAUAUUGAAAAAAGUUUGAAUUACUUUUCCUU
rnacentral:sRNA from 1 species